CCUACGGGUGGCAGCAGUGAGGAAUAUUGGUCAAUGGACGAGAGUCUGAACCAGCCAAGUAGCGUGAAGGAUGACUGCCCUAUGGGUUGUAAACUUCUUUUAUAUGGGAAUAAAAUGUUCCACGUGUGGGAUAUUGUAUGUACCAUAUGAAUAAGGAUCGGCUAACUCCGUGCCAGCAGCCGCGGUAAUACGGAGGCUCCGAGCGUUAUCCGGAUUUAUUGGGUUUAAAGGGUGCGGAGGUGGUUUGUUAAGUCAGGUGUGAAAGUUUGCGGCUCAACCGUAAAAUUGCAGUUGAAACUGGCAGUCGUGAGUACAGUAGAGGUGGGCGGAAUUCGUGGUGUAGCGGUGAAAUGCUUAGAUAUCACGAAGAACUCCGAUUGCGAAGGCAGCUCACUGGACUGCAACUGACACUGAGGCUCGAAAGUGUGGGUAUCAAACAGGAUUAGAUACCCCGGUAGUC
rnacentral:rRNA from 1 species